CCAUAAUCUUCUAUUCGCUUCGGUGCCUUCAACUAGAAAAACACCCGGAUUGGGUUACUGAUUUUGGAAGGAAAAGUUUCUUGCUGGUUUUGCCUUUUGACUUGCAGGAAAUUAAUCCAUUUGGGAAAAGUAAAAAGUUUGAUUAUCAAUGAAAUUUGGUUUUUCUGUUUCUUUUAAGAAAUUCUCCUGUUGUGGGAUCGAGUUCAAAUUCCCUGUUAGUCUCCAAAGUGGUAAGGUAGCAUGGAGGAGUAGUCAAAUUGGGUGAAGUAGACUGCCAAAAGUUGAAUCCGUCAGUAGUCUGUAACAAGAAGCCAUCGUGUUCAUCCAUGAGACUGAAAUCAAUAGUGUCAUCGGAUGCACCAUCUUCCAUGAUGAAUAAUAAGAAUAAUUGUCAAAUCUCCAUUCCGUAAAGCCUAGAAUAAAUGCAGACAACAAAAUCACGAUCCAAAACACAGAAGCAGCAUAAAUAUGAAAGACAAGAAGAGGAACUUCCAGGAAGGAUUCCUUUCCGUUGUCUUCCAAAACCCAGUUAGCCCUGGAGGUAGUAUAAACAUCGUCUAUUAAAAGUUCUUUGCAACUGCAAUCACAAAUGCAUUUCAGAGGCCAGAAAUCAAACGCACAGACGAUAAGAUUAGCAGGAAAAUCUAAAAAGUAUUUCGGGAUUCUGGGGGGAGUAAACCCAACAAAAGUUCAAACAAAAAACAAAUACAAUUACGAAUUGUUUCAACAAUAGCAGAAGAAAAGAAAAAGGGUCACAAAAGACGAAAUUAUAAUUGAAAACAGAGGUGAAAAAGGCAAAGCCACUCACUAUAUGUACAAUCUUACUGAAUCCUUAUGAACAGUAGAGUGAGUGAUUCAUAAAUAUGAUGACUACUGGUAAAUUGUUCCCUUCCGGUCUCAGAAUUGAGUCAAAUCUCACACACAAAUCAACAGAAGAUAAAUUUGUGAAACAAAUUUGGAAUGUUUCAAUUAUUUGCCUGUUGGCCGUUGUUUUUCAGGUAUUUUGUGCAAAUAAUGGGCGAGGAAUGAGAAAAGCGGGCAGAGGAAAUACUGUUGCUCCAUCAUGGAUGGGACCUACGGAAAGGACAGGUGAGAGAAUCAAAAACGAAAAUAGAUGUAGUUGAAAAGGAACAGCAGCUCAAUUUCCAUGUCAUAAAAUUCAGGAAUCAGGCAAAAUCAUGUUUUGAUUUCGUGUUUAUUAACUUAUUUACUCCGUGUGAAAAAGAUUCCUUCUAUCUUUUUCAGAGCAUUGAGGAUUUGUCCUACGUCUC
rnacentral:lncRNA from 1 species